AUACGGAGGGUGCAAGCGUUACUCGGAAUCACUGGGCGUAAAGCGCGCGCAGACGGUCUUUUAAGUUGGAUGUGAAAGCCUACGGCUCAACCGUAGAACUGCAUCCAAAACUAUUAGACUAGAGUGUGGGAGAGGAAGAUGGAAUUAGUUGUGUAGAGGUAAAAUCCGUAGAGAUAACUAGGAAUACCAAAAGCGAAGGCAAUCUUCUGGAACACUACUGACGCUGUGGCGCGAAAGCGUGGGGAGCAAACAGGAUUAGAUACCCCAGUAGUCC
rnacentral:rRNA from 1 species